GACGAACGCUGGCGGCGUGCUUAACACAUGCAAGUCGAACGGAAAGGCCCUGCUUUUGUGGGGUGCUCGAGUGGCGAACGGGUGAGUAACACGUGAGUAACCUGCCCUUGACUUUGGGAUAACUUCAGGAAACUGGGGCUAAUACCGGAUAGGAGCUCCUGCUGCAUGGUGGGGGUUGGAAAGUUUCGGCGGUUGGGGAUGGACUCGCGGCUUAUCAGCUUGUUGGUGGGGUAGUGGCUUACCAAGGCUUUGACGGGUAGCCGGCCUGAGAGGGUGACCGGCCACAUUGGGACUGAGAUACGGCCCAGACUCGUACGGGAGGCAGCAGUGGGGAAUAUUGCACAAUGGGCGGAAGCCUGAUGCAGCAACGCCGCGUGCGGGAUGACGGCCUUCGGGUAGUAAACCGCUUUCGCCUGUGACGAAGCGUGAGUGACGGUAAUGGGUAAAGAAGCACCGGCUAACUACGUG
rnacentral:rRNA from 1 species